rnacentral:rRNA from 1 species
AGGACGAACGCUGGCGGCGUGCUUAACACAUGCAAGUCGAGCGGAAAGGCCUUUCGGGGUACUCGAGCGGCGAACGGGUGAGUAACACGUGAGUAAUCUGCCCAUCGCUUCAGGAUAGCCAUCGGAAACGGUGAUUAAUACUGGAUAUGACAUUCCUUCGCAUGUUGGGGUGUGGAAAGUUUUUUCGGCGGUGGAUGUGCUCGCGGCCUAGUCAGCUUGUUGGUGGGGUAAUGGCCUUACCAAGGCUUUGACGGGUAGCCGG